CCCUUUGGGUGUGACUGCGUACCUUUUGUAUAAUGGGUCAGCGACUUAUAUUCUGUAGCAAGGUUAACCGAAUAGGGGAGCCGGAGGGAAACCGAGUCUUAAUUGGGCGUUAAGUUGCAGGGUAUAGACCCGAAACCCGGUGAUCUAGCCAUGGGCAGGUUGAAGGUUGGGUAACACUAACUGGAGGACCGAACCGACUAAUGUUGAAAAAUUAGCGGAUGACCUGUGGCUGGGGGUGAAAGGCCAAUCAAACCGGGAGAUAGCUGGUUCUCCCCGAAAGCUAUUUAGGUAGCGCCUCGUGAAUUCAUCUCCGGGGGUAGAGCACUGUUUCGGCUAGGGGGCCAUCCCGGCUUACCAACCCGAUGCAAACUGCGAAUACCGGAGAAUGUUAUCACGGGAGACACACGGCGGGUGCUAACGUCCGUCGUGAAGAGGGAAACAACCCAGACCGCCAGCUAAGGUCCCAAAGUCAUGGUUAAGUGGGAAACGAUGUGGGAAGGCCCAGACAGCCAGGAUGUUGGCUUAGAAGCAGCCAUCAUUUAAAGAAAGCGUAAUAGCUCACUGGUCGAGUCGGCCUGCGCGGAAGAUGUAACGGGGCUAAACCAUGCACCGAAGCUGCGGCAGCGACACUGUGUGUUGUUGGGUAGGGGAGCGUUCUGUAAGCCUGUGAAGGUGUGUCGUGAGGC
rnacentral:rRNA from 2 species